UCGCCUAUCACUCUUCUUUGAUUUGUUUUGUAUUUUUUCCAUUUUUUCAUUAUUUGCUCAUGUGUUUUAAUGAAAAUAGCAUCAAACUACCUUUAAGUUACAAAUUUAUAGUAAGAAUAUAUGUUUGGGUUCUUUAAUUCAACUCUCUCUCUCUCUUUGAGGAAUUUCCACAAAUAUUUGGUGGCCAAAUCUAAGAUUUGUAAAAAGACAAAAAUUUGACCAAGACAAUGAUG